GAUGAACGCUGGCGGCGUGCCUAAUACAUGCAAGUCGAGCGAACAGAUGAGGAGCUUGCUCCUCUGACGUUAGCGGCGGACGGGUGAGUAACACGUGGAUAACCUACCUAUAAGACUGGGAUAACUUCGGGAAACCGGAGCUAAUACCGGAUAAUAUAUUGAACCGCAUGGUUCGAUAGUGAAAGACGGUUUUGCUGUCACUUAUAGAUGGAUCCGCGCCGCAUUAGCUAGUUGGUAAGGUAACGGCUUACCAAGGCAACGAUGCGUAGCCGACCUGAGAGGGUGAUCGGCCACACUGGAACUGAGACACGGUCCAGACUCCUACGGGAGGCAGCAGUAGGGAAUCUUCCGACAUGGGCGAAAGCCUGACGGAGCAACGCCGCGUGAGUGAUGAAGGUCUUCGGAUCGUAAAACUCUGUUAUUAGGGAAGAACAAAUGUGUAAGUAACUAUGCACGUCUUGACGGUACCUAAUCAGAAAGCCACGGCUAACUACGUG
rnacentral:rRNA from 1 species